UUUCUAGUCAGUCCCGUGACGUCAGCCCGUCCAAUCACAGCUGAGCUGAGCUCACUCAAAGAGUCAUGAAAAAGAACAGAGCAAAGGCAGCGUGGAGUGCUGGGAUGUCAAAGGCAACAAGAUGGCUGCAAUACUACGAGCCUAAAGUGAAAAAAAGGAGCCUGACCAGGUGCAGAAGGCAGCAGUCCCCAUCA